rnacentral:rRNA from 1 species
CGCGCAGGCGGUCGUUCAAGUCGCGUGUGAAAGCCCCCGGCUCAACUGGGGAGGGUCACGCGAUACUGAUCGACUCGAAGGCAGGAGAGGGAAGUGGAAUUCCCGGUGUAGUGGUGAAAUGCGUAGAUAUCGGGAGGAACACCAGUGGCGAAGGCGACUUCCUGGCCUGUUCUUGACGCUGAGGCGCGAAAGCUAGGGGAGCAAACG